rnacentral:rRNA from 1 species
GUCUAGAGAUAGAAAAAUACUUUAGCUAAGCAGGGUUAGGCCUGGUUAGUACUUGGAUGGGAGACCACCUAGGAAGACCAGGUACUCUAGGCG